UUUUUUCUGUGUCCUAAGAGGUUUGUGCACAUGUUGUUUAAUUAGCUGGGAGCAACAGCUGAUUUCCUUUGUUUUUCUUUCUCAGCUCUUCCCCUGGUGGGGAGGAGCAGUGAAAGUGCUUGGGGGUACCCCACAAGAAGGAAUUCCCAAGUGUGCCUUUCUGGAUUCUCAAAAAAAGGUUUUUUUUUGCACUUGGGUGGUGGUAGCAUCUGCCCAGCCAAGGUCAGAGGAAAAACUGUAACGUUGGAAGUUUAAUACCAGCCUGGAGUGGCCAGUAUUAAUUUUUUAGAAUACUUGUGGGCCCUUACGUUCUGCACUUGAAGUGCCAGAGUGGGGAAUCAGCCUUGACAGAGGGAGAGGGCACCUAUACUGACUCUGGCCACUAGGCCAGGGUGUCCUGAGGUUAAGGGCAGUCAGGUGGGCUUCGCCAUGGGGCUGCAAUGCCCCACUCAAGAGGGAGAUGGGGUGUACUCGCCCCGCAACAUCUUGCUCUGUGUCCAUUCAGCUCCCUGAUGCUGUUCUUCUCAUAUUCUGAAUUCAGCUUCCUAAUAACUCCCUCUUCUCAUAGGGAUCCUGCUGCUGCCACUCCUCUCUGCUCACCUCUCCUCUUCUAACUGCUCAAAUCUAAUUGUCAUGAAACCUUGUGAUUAUAACAUUCCACCCAGAACUAUUAAAAAAAGUUCACUGCCCAGAACAGUCAGCUUGCUGUUCAGAUACCCCUCCAUGUGUAUCCUGUUGCUUAUUGACUGACCUGGCCAAAGCAUUCGAGAAGAGGAUGUAAAGGAAAUUGGCGUUCCACUUUCAUUUCUUUGUAGAUGCUUUGCCUGCCUCGCCUGCUACGUUCAUGAAUUCCUGCCAUGGCUUGGCUCAUGCAGUUGUAUACUGUGCUACAUUUUAAGGAAAUUGCUAAUAAAACAUGUCCUUUUUGUGAAGUAAAAUAUGGGUUAAAAACACCAUUCUGUGGUCAGGAAACUGAGCUGGGAUUUCUUUUCAACCACACCAAUAUUGGACACACCAAUAAGUACACACCCAGAAUUUUAAUGCAGAUCAGAUUGGUAGCUUGUCUUUGAAAAAGAAAUGAAAACAUACCAACUUACUGUACAAUGAAAUUAAUUUAUUAAAAGUGACAACCACAUUUUAUUGUUUUGAUAACUAAAUGUAAGAUUCAAGUUAUCCUUGGAAAAGUCAUUUAAAAAAAUUUCUAGUGUGGAAAGUUGUUGGCUUGGUUAGGUCUAACUUGCUAUUUAUAUGUAUACAAUAACAUUUAAAGUCUUUGGCUUCCAAAAGCAGCCUUACUAUGAAGGAGCCGACUUAAAUACCUUCUCUGUUAAUAGAUGCAACUUCCAUGAGGCAAACCUGCAUGCUCACGCUCUCUCUCACUCUCUCUCUGAAGCAUCCUGUUAUAAAGAAAGAAACUUUAUUUAAAGAAUAAACUUCCAGUUAGCUUAAAAAAAAGUUUUUUAAUGAUCUUAAUGAAAAAAUAGGUGUUUGAUACAUUCCAUGUAGCAAAUCAGACUAAAAUAGCAGAACCAUGUUAUAUAACCUUGUUGCACUGACAUUCUAAUAAUUAAUUAUUUCAGGGCCCAAUUGCUUGAGGAAUAAGGUAUUACUUGGCAUAUGAUUAAUCUGCUGAACAGUAAUAGGUCAGUGUGGCAACCGUGCUUUUGAUGGGAUAUACAAACCCCACACAGGCAACAAGAGGUUAAGGAGCUGCUCUCAGCUCAGCUUUCACCACCCUGCCACACCUGCAAGAGAUGCACAGACUGGGGGAGGAGUUAAAAGAGAAGCAGAACAGCUCACUGGUGAGCAGACCAGAAAAGAGAGUAGACAGUUAACUUGCAGGUCCUGAGGAAAUGGCUGAGGGAAAGUAGGGACCUUCCCAACAGCAACUGUCUGAAGGUCUUUCUCUGAUAGAACAGAGGACCUGAUUCCGAUAGUCUCUGAGACAGAAGCAUUUCCACUUCUCUCAUACUAACUCAGUUUGUUUGUGUUAAAUCCCCUUGGUUUUGUUUAUGGACUACCCUGCAAGGGGAGAGAUUUGGAAGUGACGUGGCUGGAGAGCCAAGUUACAGGAGGAGGCAUGCUACUGCACUGAGGAGGCAGAGCAGCUGGUGGCUGCUGCCCCCAGGAGAGAGAGUUGCCAUGCCACACCUGGCCAUGGGGAUGUACCAAGUGGUGAGCUGACCACCUUCACAGCUGCUCUUCUCCAGUGGGUGGAAGCCAGUAGUCAGCAGAAAGAGAAUAUUCUUCAGCAGGUGGUGGGGAGGCUGGGUGUCUGGCCCUAUUAGGAAUGUGGCGCUGAGGGCAUUUGGCAAGCUACCUAUUCGGACUCACCAGCUGUUGGGGCCCAUAGAGCAUUAGUAGCUUAAGCACUUACAGUUCUUGCCUCAGCCAUGGUACAAAUGGAAUGGUACUGGGGACUGGUUCAAAACAAAGUUUGGUACUGCAGCCCUCCAGAGACCCCACAAAGAGGUGAUAAUUUCAUGAGUAGAGAGGUGGCACAGUCUGUCUCUUCCACUCUAUGUGACGAUCCAAACCCCUUGAAGUCAGUGGAAUAAACUCCCAUUGACAUUAGUUGGCGUUGAAUGAGACUCUAGCUUGAUGCUGCAAUAACUUAGCCACGUUUGGGGAACUGAAACUAAAGUUAUAAAUGUAAGUGUAUUCGGUGGUUGGUCCAUUCCAAGUUGCAUGUUUCUGCAUAGUUGUAUGAAAAUCAGUAGGUAAGUGUGAAUUGGUGAAAGGCAUGAAUUUGUAGAAAAGGAUUCAUGAUCUGUUAAUUACAUGGUCUAGAUAAUACUUAGUUCUGCCAUGAGUGCAGGGGACUGGACUAGAUGACCUCUCUAGAUUCCUUCCAGUCCUAUGAUUCUAUGAUAUAAACAUUCCUAAUAAAUUAUUAUUUUUCCCAGAAAGAUGGAUCUGAUUAUACUGUGUUUGCAGUCGGAUAAAACUGUUAAUAUAAUUUUAGUCCUGUUGAGCAUGUUUUAUUAUUCACAGUACAGUAUCAAUUCAUGAGGAAAAUCUGUACUUUGGAGAUUUUAGAAAUAAUAGAAGAAUGGGAAACAGAGGUGGCAGUGCCCAAACAAGGUAAGGUGACUCUCAGGUAAUGCCAGUCAUUGUUUAUUCUUUGCUUUACUACUGUUUUCUAACAAUAUAAUUGUUACAAAUGUCAGUAUUUGCAAUGGGGAGAGUUGGGAUUCUUAAAAAAAAAGUAACAUCUUUGCAGGCUUUUGAUCUAAUGGCAGAGUUUGUUUUUACUCUGUUAAUUUCAACAGCAGAGUUUAAUUUGUCUUUAGGGAAAAAAAGACGUGUGGAUAUCUGGGAAGUGAGGAAUAGCAAAACCACAAACCAAAUAGACAAAAUAUUAUAUUUUAAUAUCUAUAUAUUUUCAUAGUGGGAGGGAAACUUAGACCAAAACAAAGAGUAACAAGACUGAAAAGGAUCUACAUUCUGCCAUUAGAAACAGCCAGCAUUUCCCGAUGUUAAUAUGCUAAUUAGCUUUUUAAAGAAAAUGUUGUUGAUAGAAAUAAAGGAACAAAAAAAAGGAAAAAAUUGAAAUGUGUGUUUUGCCGAGCUCAGGCCUUUCUCAGCAUUUAGAGUGCCAGAAUCAACCCCCUUUAAUACAGUUAAUGGUAUCAAAUAGUUGUGUCAGCUGACAGGAAAUAGGAAAGUUCCUAUGGCAACUAAAAAUACGCACAAGAGAAAAAACGCAUCAAACAAUAUAGCAAACAAAAUAAAAAGGAGUAUAUUGAUGAUAAAUACAAAAAGAAUACACAUAAGCCCUAUCUUAAUAAAUGCAUACCUUAAUAGCUUAUUUUUAGUUUUAUUUCUUCCAGCUGGGAAGCAAUUCCUAUGGAUAAUGGAUACUUUAACUAUGUAAAAUUGUUUUCCUAAGAUACAAUUCACUCUUACAAGUUGAGCAACACAGAAAACAGAAUGCCACAUAUUUAUUGCAUGCUGUUUCUUGAUAGAUAUAUGCCAAACUAUCCCCUUUACCACAGCAUGGGCCGGAAAGGAGGACUUACUCAACAAAAGUACAGGUAGCCUUGGCAUUUAAACCGCAGUGCCUGUAUUCCUACCUAUUAAAAGAUGUGUUUUGAAAGAACUAGAUGUCUAUAACUAUACACAAGCAGCUUAAAGUAGAAAUAAAAAAGAGCAAUUCUGUUUAUGUACCUUGCUAGCUUACAUACCUGGGUAAUCAUCCUCUUGAGCAUUAUAGCAAGUAGCGGUAUCCACUCUUAUAGCAAGAUGUCGCAACAACUGUAAGAUUUUUAAGGGAAAGGGGACUUUGGAAGAGCUUCUUCAAGAUAGAUGAGCAGAGGAGGAUAACAAGUACCUCAAUGGAAGAGUCAGGUAGAAUUAAGAUGGUAUGUGUUAAUAGUGCUAUAGUACAAGACAGAUUCUACUAGCAGCUGCAGAGACAACAACUACUCUACAAAAUAUCACUGCAGGAGGCUUGUUUCUUGAAGGACAUCAGUAUGGGAGUACGGUGGAUGGUCAGUACUCCACUAAUUUACUCUUUAAGAAGGUAUGCUUAGCAACAACAGUAAAUAUAUAAUACAAAUACAGUAGGAUGGGAUCCUUCUGAAGGGAUGAUAGCAACUAAGUAUGAGCCUAUUCUCACCUCUUACACUGGUCAAAGAAACUACAUCCCUUCAGUAAUCAAAUUCUUAUGGAUGUCUACCACUUUCUCUCAGGAUUACUUUCCAAUAUCCCACAGGUAGGCAACCUAUGACACAUGUGCCAAAGGCAGCAUGCAAGCUGAUUUUCAGUGGCACUCACACUGCCUGGGUCCUGGCCACCGGUCCAGGAGCUCUGCAUUUUAAUUUAAUUUUAAAUGAAGCUUCUUAAACAUUUUAAAAAUCUUAUUUACUUUACAUACAACAAUAGUUUAGUUAUAUAUUAUAGACUUAUAGAAAGAGACCUUCUAAAAACAUUAAAAUGUAUUACUGGCAUGCGAAACCUUAAGUUAGGGUAAAUAAAUGAAGACUCGGCACACCACUUCUGAAAGGUUGCCAACCCCUGCAAUAUCCAAUGGGAUGCCUGGGUUCUAUCCUUCAGCUCUGAGAGAGGAGUGGGGUCUAGUGGAUUAGAGCAGGGGGGCUGGGAGCCAGGGCUCCUGGGUUCUCCGCAGGCCCAUUCCAUCCCCCACACCUCACUCACUCUAGGGCAGCCAUUUAUUCCAGUCCCUUGUGGGGUCACCCAUUUCUACCAAGUGUCUCUGUUUUAUAUGAUGUACAUAAACCGAGGAGCUUGAGGGUCUCUCUGCUGCCUCCCAGACAUUGACACCCCUAACAACAGGCUGAUUAAACUGACUCAAUUGUCCUGGGGGGCUGAGCUGCUUCCCUUGGGGUCGGGUGACCCUGGCUCCUCCCUACCCUCACUGCUUCCAUUGUAAUGUACAUUAAACACUGUGUUUAGCACACAAAAAAAAGUCAAAGUAUUUUUGAAGUGGUGAAAGGUCAAAGGGAGCAAGGAAUUAUACCAAUAUAUUAGAUUAGCUUCAAUAUGUUGUUGAGUGUUUAAUUCUCAUGCAAGGCUAGGUAGAGCAUAUUGACCAUUCACAGAAUGGACUACUGAAUACUAUCAUUUUACUCCAAGUGAGCACUGCCAUGAAGAAAGUUUCUGUAUAAUGGAAGAACAACCCUUAUUUUGAUUUUUCAGUAAUUGAGAUACAGGAAUAUUUAUGUCAUUCUGUAACUCACACAGGGAAAACAUUAGGCUGAGAUGAGAUGGCUUUUCUUGGCCAUUUUCAGUACAUGAAAACCUGAAAUGCAAACCAUGGGAAUGGAUGGAGGCUGUAUGGACUGGGAUGUAGGUGGCUUGGCCUAGUAGCAGAGCAUGAGUCAGGUCUAGUGGGCGGAGCAGAUGUCUGGGUUGGAGAAUGAAACCAAGGGUCAGCACCAGAGUCAACUGCCAAUUACCACUGCUAGGGGGCAAGCCAGAAUCAGAACAAGGAAUAAAAGCUAAGGGUCAGAGCCAGGGUCCGAUACCAAAUGCCUGAGCUGAGGGUCAAGCCAGAGUCAGAGUCAAGGGCAGAAGUUGGAGGCCAGGGGCAGAACCAGACUGGUAACUGAUGAUUGGAGAUGAGGUGUAAGGGCAGGAACUGGAGGAGAGGCAAGGAUCAAGCACAGAGCAGGAGUACAGUGGGAACAGUAGUGAAGGCAGGGAUGAGCCCAGACCAGAACAGGUUUGGGUGCAGGAGGCUGACGCAAGCAGGAUCCAAUGCAGCUACCAUAGGAUAUCACCUUGUUGCUCAGACAAACUUCCUGUGUCUCCUGCCUUAAAUUUCAUGGUUGGACUAAUAGGUUGGAGCCAGGUGAUCCUCCAAUCAGGUAUCCAGUGGGUAGUGUGUUGGUUGAGACUAUAGUCCUACUAGCUUCUUGGCCCAUCAGGUUUCAGUAGACAAUGGGUGGAGGCCAGGAUGCAGCAGCUUCCUGGGACUCCCAGGCCAUGGUUCAAGACUCAGGACAUCACAGAAGCAAGAAACAGAACAAAGCAAUAAAGUAGCAUCAGCGGUUGUCCUAAUAAAAUCAGAUUAAUCAUUUGUGUAUCAAGUAAACUACUUUAAAUCCCUUCACUUACAAAUAAAACAAGGACCGUUGUCUGAAUAUACUAGGCUUUUGUUUUCAUCUUGUUUCGUCUUCGUUUGGUGGUAGGAAAUGUAAGCAUUUAUUUGAUGUAAGCAUCAUUACUAAAUAUUAUUUAAUUCCUAUGAAAGGUUACAAAUUGACCUUGAUGGUACUAGGUUUACUGUACUAAACUUGCAUAGAAUAUAUUUUAGUCUCCCUCUUCUUUUUGUUUCCUGCUUUCGCUUUUAUAGAUCUUUCCCUCCUGACCCACACCCAUUGAGAGAUCUCAUGAACUGAGAUCACUGCUAAGUGGACUCUCAGGGAACUUUAGAAAAAGAUUCUAUGAUUUCAGAUGUACCAUACUCUAAAACGUCCUGAAUCUUAGCAUCUGUGGCAGUUAUACCCCAGUGGCUGAAACAGAUUGAAAAAUGCUUCCACUUGGCUAAAUAAGCAGAUCUAGGGGUAUGCUGUCUGGUGUUCAGUAAAAUAUUUUGAACUGCCAAAGGACAAUGUUUCUCUAUUUCAUCAAGUCACUCAAUAGCCACAGUGUAAGGUGCAGGCUGUUCAGGUCUGGGUGUUAUAACUGACCGUGGUGUUGAGACAGUAGAUCUGGAAGUGUAGGCAGGGUCCAAGGAGGCCAAAUGGAGAGGCUGUGAAGGUCCAAGAACUAGCAUUGUCUCAACCAUGCUGGGGGUUAUGAGAAUUAUUCCGGCAUGGGCUUGUUUUGAUAUGAGGAUCACCUGUGGGAUGAGGUGAGUGGAAAGGAAUGCACACAUGAGGUAUGGUCCCCACCAAAGGAGAAAAGCAUCAGUCAAUGAGCUUGGGCUGUGACCUUCUUGAAAGCAAAAUUGACAGCAUUUUCUGUUGUCAUUCAUUGCAAAUAGGUCAACCAACAGGAUUCCCCAGGCACAGAAGAUGAUUCUGAGCAUACUGCAUUUCAGAGACCAUUUGUGAUCAUGAGAAAAUCUGCUGAGAUAUUGGCCAACAGUUUCUGGGAGCCCAAUGUUCGGACAGACUAAUGUAUUGGAUGUUGUGGAGAACCAGUUGUUUGGAUCUGCCUCAAAUUAACCAACCAUCCAGAUAUGGAAAGACAUGGAUCCUGUUUCUCCUCAGAUAGGCUGCCAUUUCUGUCAUGCACUUUGUGAAUACUUACUGAGCCAACAACAGGCCAAAGGGAAGUACCGUGUACUGAUUAUGCAGCUUAUCACAAAUCUUGGAAACUUCUUGUGACUUGGCAAAAGUGCCACAUGGAAGGAGACAUCCUGGAAAUCGAGGGCAUCAAACCAGUCAGUACAAUCUUGGGAAGGACUAAUCAGUGCUAGAGACAAUAUGCCAUUAUGCUAUAAGAAGCAUCAGCUACAUCAACAUAGACUGUAGUGAGAUCUUCGCCACUGUGUGGCAUUCUGCAAGAAAAACCUUAUAUUCAGGUAACUUCUCAGUAAUUUUGGACACCGCAAGCCAGCGCACAAAGCCAUAUUUAGUUAAAAGCACCUGGUGAAUCACUAUCCACAUUUGGAAAGAGGAGGUUGAAUACAUUUUUCUACCAAAUAAAUCAAGUCUUUUGGGCUCUUUCUAUUUA